CCUACGGGUGGCAGCAGUGGGGAAUAUUGGGCAAUGGACGAGACUCUGACCCAGCAAAGUAGCGUGAAUGAUGACUGCCCUCGGGGUUUUAAGCUUCUUUCAAAAGGGAAUAGAACGUGACGGUACCUUAGGAAUAAGCCUCGGCUAACUACGUGCCAGCAGCCGCGGUAAUACGUAGGUGGCGAGCGUUAUCCGGAUUUACUGGGUGUAAGGGGUGCGUAGGUGGGUUGGCAAGUUAGUAGCGUAAUUCCGCGGCUCAACCGUAGAACUGCAAUUGAAACUGUUGGUCUUGAGUACAGGAGAGGCAGCCGGAAUUCCUAGUGUAGCGGUGAAAUGCGUAGAUAUUAGGAGGAACACCAGUGGCGAAGGCGGGUUGCUAGACUGUAACUGACACUGAGGCACGAAAGCGUGGGGAGCAAACAGGAUUAGAUACCCUGGUAGUC
rnacentral:rRNA from 1 species